CAUGCCGCGUGAGUGAUGAAGGCCUUCGGGUUGUAAAGCUCUUUCGCACGCGACGAUGAUGACGGUAGCGUGAGAAGAAGCCCCGGCUAACUUCGUGCCAGCAGCCGCGGUAAUACGAAGGGGGCUAGCGUUGUUCGGAAUUACUGGGCGUAAAGGGCGCGUAGGCGGCUUAUCAAGUCAGGCGUGAAAGCCCCGGGCUUAACCUGGGAACUGCGCUUGAGACUGGUAGGCUAGAGUACCGGAGAGGUGGGUGGAAUUCCCAGUGUAGAGGUGAAAUUCGUAGAUAUUGGGAAGAACACCGGUGGCGAAGGCGGCCCACUGGACGGUAACUGACGCUGAGGCGCGAAAGCGUGGGGAGCAAACAGGAUUAGAUACCCUGGUAGUCCACGCCGUAAACGAUGUCGGCUAGACGUUGGGGCCCUUAGGGUUUCAGUGUCGCAGCUAACGCAUUA
rnacentral:rRNA from 1 species